UCAUUUUUAACACCAACAUGUUCUCUGUAGCUCUGCUGCUGCUGCUGGCUGCUGGAUCCUGUGUGAAAAGUGAAACGCUUACUCAGCCAGUCUCUCUGACUGUACAGUCAGGUCAGCCUUUAACCCUCAGCUGUCAGGUCUCUUAUUCUGUCAGCAGCUACUGGACAGCUUGGAUCAGACAGCAUGCAGGAAAAGAACUGGAAUGGAUUGGUGGAUCUGGAGAAGGCUCUGGAUGGAGUACAUACUACAAAGAUUCACUGAAAAACAAGUUCAGCAUCACCUUUGUUUCUUCCAGCAACACAGCAACUCUACAUGGACAGAAUAUGCAGCCUGAAGACUCUGCUGUGUAUUACUGUGCGAGAGAACCACAGUGA